rnacentral:lncRNA from 1 species
UCUGCGACAGAGCGAGACCGUGUCAAAAAAAAAAAAAAAAAAAAAGGCUGACUAGAAACAGCUAGUGUGCGCCACUCUCACAAACAGAAGAAAGUGAUCAUCCAGGUGGACACUCUGGGAUUCAGCGAGGAAACAACACAACCCACGGAGAACAAAGACGAGUAAGACAGGAGAGCCUCCCACCAGGAGUGGUACGGAGCCAGGAGAGGCCCCCAACAUGGGGAAAUGGAUCUUUAUUGUCCUUGUGUGCCUUCACUCCAACUCUGAUUAAAAAGGACUCUCUACAGAAGACGUACUACUGGUCACUUACAUUGGUAAGUAAAUUUCAUAAAAACACCUUGACCUGUACAAGCUUUAUAGUUUACAAAUUAUUUUUAUGUAUGUUAUUCCACUAAAUUCCCACAACUCCCUUUUCCAAAUGAGGAAGCUGAGGCUCAGAGUAGUUUGAUAAUUUGUUCAAGAUUGUGCAGACUGAAUACAGUGGAGCUGGGAUUCAAACAGGUUUUCUGUCAAGUUUGGUCAUUUUUUCAUUCUUUUGUUGCUUUGUGUAAAUUUAAGUGUUUGUACUAGCUUUUCCAGGAUUUUCUACGUUUUUGGUUUUAUCUGACAGUCCUUUCCCUGUUAAGAAAAUUUUCAACUACAUGCAACAUUGGAGGUAGGGUCCUUUUUUUUUUUAGAUCUUCCUGAGAAACUCUGAAAUCAUACCAUUGUGGGGAGCUGCCUCUUCCACUUACGUAUAGGUGUGAAGAUCAUCUGAAUGUUUAUUUUGAAACUGGACCCAAGGUCAUUAGCUAUUUUGGGGCUAGUAGUUUUCUCUAAAAUAUUCAACUAUAUUUUACAACAUAUUAGGCUGACUUUUCUCAGCACCUACAUUCUUACGCAAUUUAUAAUCCUUGUGUUUUAGAGGGCUAAGACUGGAUGGAGGUAUGUUUAACUCACAUAUUGAGCUUAUGCUCUAAACUCAAACUCACAGGUGAAACAUUUUAAUAACUGAAUCUUUUCCAGUGGAUGAUUUGAAGAUGUAUCUCAAAGAGAUGAUGUAGGUUACAUAGAAUACAUAUCAAUAUUUUAUUAAAAUUAUUUAUCUUUUAAGGACGAAAAAUGUCGGCAUUAGCAUAGAAUCACCUCUUUAUGAGAUGUAUAUAUUUUAUGAUGAACAGGGGAAAAAAGAGCUUAAAUUGUAUAUUGAAAGUGGGAAAAAUGAAAGUCUAUAGGAGAAUCCUAUAACUUCCUCUUGUCUCUUCCUGGCUAAAACUAAAUACCUAACAUAUGAAAAAAAAA